rnacentral:rRNA from 1 species
UUAAAAUGUAAUUAAAAAAUCUAGAUUAUUAAUAGUUAUGUUCUUUAAAAUUAAAUUUUUUGGCGGUAUUUUAGACUUUUCAGAGGAACCUGUCCUAUAAUAGAUAAUCCACUAUAGAUUUAAUUUUAUUUAGAAAUUUAUAUAUCGUCGUGAAAAAUAUUUUUAAAGAAUUAAAAUAUUUAUAAUUUUUUAUAGAAAAAUAAGUCAGAUCAAGGUAUAGUUUAUAGUAAAAGAGAGAUGGGUUACAAUUUAUUUAUAAUUGGAUUAUUAAUUUAAUAUUAAUAUGAAAUUGGAUUUGAAAGUAAUAUAAUUUACUUAUUUUGUAUGAUUAAGCUCUAAAAUAUGU